ACUCCUACGGGAGGCAGCAGUGGGGAAUAUUGCACAAUGGGCGCAAGCCUGAUGCAGCCAUGCCGCGUGUAUGAAGAAGGCCUUCGGGUUGUAAAGUACUUUCAGCAGUGAGGAAGGUGGGUAUGUUAAUAGCAUACUCAUUUGACGUUAGCUGCAGAAGAAGCACCGGCUAACUCCGUGCCAGCAGCCGCGGUAAUACGGAGGGGUGCGAGCGUUAAUCGGAAUUACUGGGCGUAAAGCGCAUGCAGGUGGUUUGUUAAGUCAGAUGUGAAAGCCCGGGGCUCAACCUCGGAAUUGCAUUUGAAACUGGCAAACCUAGAGUACUGUAGAGGGGGUAGAAUUUCAGGUGUAGCGGUGAAAUGCGUAGAGAUCUGAAGGAUACCGGUGGCGAAGGCGGCCCCCUGGACAGAUACUGACACUCAGAUGCGAAA
rnacentral:rRNA from 1 species